rnacentral:tRNA from 1 species
GGGGUUGUGGCUCAGUGAUAGAGUGCUCACCUUACAGGUGAGAGACUCUGGGUUCAAUCCUCAGCACCACA